rnacentral:misc_RNA from 1 species
UACGAAGGGGGCAAGCGUUGUUCGGAAUUAUUGGGCGUAAAGCGUAUGUAGGUGGUCUUUCAAGUCAGACGUGUAAGCCCUCGGCUCAACCGGGGAAUUGCGUUUGAAACUGAUUGACUUGAGUGUAGGAGAGGAAAGCGGAAUUCCCAGUGUAGCGGUGAAAUGCGUUGAUAUUGGGAAGAACACCGGUGGCGAAGGCGGCUUUCUGGCCUACUACUGACACUGAGAUACGAAAGCCAGGGGAGCAAAGGGG